rnacentral:SRP_RNA from 1 species
UGCAGGUCCCCUCGCAGUGACAGCCUGUGAAUCUGGUCAGGCCCGGAAGGGAGCAGCCACAGCAGGUGCGUUACGUGCCGGGGUGUGGCUUGUGAGG